CUUCAGCGAGCCCAGCAGCAGCGGGCGGCCCUCGGCCCGGCCCUGGCCGUAGGUGGCCAGCAACGCCUGGGCCUC
rnacentral:antisense_RNA from 1 species